AGUGAACGCUGGCGGUAAGCCUAACACAUGCAAGUCGAACGGCAGCACAGUAAGAGCUUGCUCUUACGGGUGGCGAGUGGCGGACGGGUGAGGAAUACAUCGGAAUCUACUUUUUCGUGGGGGAUAACGUAGGGAAACUUACGCUAAUACCGCAUACGACCUACGGGUGAAAGCAGGGGAUCUUCGGACCUUGCGCGAUUGAAUGAGCCGAUGUCGGAUUAGCUAGUUGGCGGGGUAAAGGCCCACCAAGGCGACGAUCCGUAGCUGGUCUGAGAGGAUGAUCAGCCACACUGGAACUGAGACACGGUCCAGACUCCUACGGGAGGCAGCAGUGGGGAAUAUUGGACAAUGGGCGCAAGCCUGAUCCAGCCAUACCGCGUGGGUGAAGAAGGCCUUCGGGUUGUAAAGCCCUUUUGCUGGGAAAGAAAAGCAGCAGGUUAAUACCCCGCUGUUCUGACGGUACCCAAAGAAUAAGCACCGGCUAACUUCGUG
rnacentral:rRNA from 1 species